GACAGAGGUCCCGAGCGUUAGGCGGAAUCACUGGGCUUAAAGCGUGUGUAGGCGGGUGCCUAAGUACCUUGUGAAAUCCCAUGGCUCAACCAUGGAACUGCUUGGUAUACUGGGUGUCUUGAGCCAAUUAGGGGCAAGCGGAACAAACGGUGGAGCGGUGAAAUGCGUAGAUAUCGUUUGGAACGCCAAUGGUGAAAACAGCUUGCUGGGAGUGUGCUGACGCUGAGACACGAAAGCCAGGGGAGCAAACGGG
rnacentral:rRNA from 1 species